UACGGAGGGUGCAAACGUUGCUCGGAAUUAUUGGGCGUAAAGCGCACGUAGGCGGCCAAUUAAGUCGGGUGUGAAAGCCCAGGGCUCAACCCUGGAAGUGCACUCGAAACUGAUUGGCUUGAGUAUGGAAGAGGGUUGCGGAAUUCCCGGUGUAGAGGUGAAAUUCGUAGAUAUCGGGAGGAACACCAGUGGCGAAGGCGGCAACUUGGGCCAAUACUGACGCUGAGGUGCGAAAGCGUGGGGAGCAAACAGG
rnacentral:rRNA from 1 species